rnacentral:rRNA from 1 species
GACGAACGCUGGCGGCGUGCUUAACACAUGCAAGUCGAACGGUAAGGCCCUUCGGGGUACACGAGUGGCGAACGGGUGAGUAACACGUGGUGAUCUGCCCUGCACUUCGGGAUAAGCCUGGGAAACUGGGUCUAAUACCGGAUAGGACCAUGGACUUCACGGUUUGUGGUGGAAAGCUUUUGCGGUGUGGGAUGGGCCCGCGGCCUAUCAGCUUGUUGGUGGGGUAAUGGCCUACCAAGGCGACGACGGGUAGCCGGCCUGAGAGGGUGUCCGGCCACACUGGGACUGAGAUACGGCCCAGACUCCUACGGGAGGCAGCAGUGGGGAAUAUUGCACAAUGGGGCGCGAAGCCUGAUGCAGCGACGCCGCGUGAGGGAUGACGGCCUUCGGGUU